AACGAACGCUGGCGGCGUGCUUAACACAUGCAAGUCGAACGGUAAGGCCCUUCGGGGUACACGAGUGGCGAACGGGUGAGUAACACGUGGGUGAUCUGCCCUGCACUUCGGGAUAAGCCUGGGAAACUGGGGCUAAUACCGGAUAGGACCACUGCCUGCAGGGGUGGGGGUGGAAAGCUUUUGCGGUGUGGGAUGGGCCCGCGGCCUAUCAGCUUGUUGGUGGGGUGGUGGCCUACCAAGGCGACGACGGGUAGCCGGCCUGAGAGGGUGACCGGCCACACUGGGACUGAGAUACGGCCCAGACUCCUACGGGAGGCAGCAGUGGGGAAUAUUGCACAAUGGGCGCAAGCCUGAUGCAGCGACGCCGCGUGAGGGAUGACGGCCUUCGGGUUGUAAACCUCUUUCAGCACCGACGAAGCGCAAGUGACGGUAGGUGCAGAAGAAGGACCGGCCAACUACGUGCCAGCCGCCGCCGUAAAAC
rnacentral:rRNA from 1 species